rnacentral:rRNA from 1 species
UGAACGCUGGCGGCGUGCCUACUACAUGCAAGUCGAGCGAACGGACGCGAAGCUUGCUUCUCUGAUGUUAGCGGCGGACGGGUGAGUAACACGUGGAUAACCUACCUAUAAGACUGGGAUAACUUCGGGAAACCGUAGCUAAUACCGGAUAAUAUUUUGAACCGCAUGGUUCAAAAGUGAAAGACGGUCUUGCUGUCACUUAUAGAUGGAUCCGCGCUGCAUUAGCUAGUUGGUAAGGUAACGGCUUACCAAGGCAACGAUGCAUAGCCGACCUGAGAGGGUGAUCGGCCACACUGGAACUGAGACACGGUCCAGACUCCUACGGGAGGCAGCAGUAGGGAAUCUUCCGCAAUGGGCGAAAGCCUGACGGAGCAACGCCGCGUGAGUGAUGAAGGUCUUCGGAUCGUAAAACUCUGUUAUUAGGGAAGAACAUAUGUGUAAGUAACUGUGCACAUCUUGACGGUACCUAAUCAGAAAGCCACGGCUAACUACGUG